rnacentral:rRNA from 1 species
AUUGAACGCUGGCGGCAUGCCUUACACAUGCAAGUCGGGCGGCAGCGCGGGGGCAACCCUGGCGGCGAGCGGCGAACGGGUGAGUAACACAUCGGAACGUACCCUGUCGUGGGGGAUAACGAAUCGAAAGAUUCGCUAAUACCGCAUACGACCUGAGGGUGAAAGCGGGGGAUCGCAAGACCUCGCGCGAGAGGAGCGGCCGAUGGCGGAUUAGCUAGUUGGUGGGGUAAAGGCCCACCAAGGCGACGAUCCGUAGCGGGUCUGAGAGGACGGCCCGCCACACUGGGACUGAGACACGGCCCAGACUCCUACGGGAGGCAGCAGUGGGGAAUUUUGGACAAUGGGGGCAACCCUGAUCCAGCCAUUCCGCGUGAGUGAAGAAGGCCUUCGGGUUGUAAAGCUCUUUCGGCAGGAACGAAACGGCGGGCUCUAACAUAGCCUGUCAAUGACGGUACCUGAAGAAGAAGCACCGGCUAACUACGUG